UACGUAGGGGGCAAGCGUUGUCCGGAAUUAUUGGGCGUAAAGAGCGCGUAGGCGGUCCGAUAAGUCGGCUGUGAAAUCCCGAGGCUCAACCUCGGGUCUGCAGUCGAUACGAGCAAACUAGAGUGUUGCAGGGGAGACUGGAAUUCCUGGUGUAGCGGUGAAAUGCGCAGAUAUCUGGAGGAACACCGGUGGCGAAGGCGGCAUCCUGGACCAAUUCUGACGCUGAGGAGCGAAAGCCAGGGGAGCAAACGGG
rnacentral:rRNA from 1 species